CCCCAAAGGUGAUGGUAGUCGUAGGUGAGGCCUGUCGGAGGUGAUUAGGUCAUGAGGGUGGAACCCUCAUGAGUGAGAUUAGUGCUUUAUGAAAGAGAGCCCACAGAGCUCCCCAGCCCCUUCUGCCAUGUGAGAGGACAACCAGAAGUCAGCUACUCAGAAGGGGGCCCUCACUCAACCGUGCCGGCAGCCUGAUCUCAGACUUCCAGCCUCCAGGACUGGCUGUAAUAGCUAAAACAAGACCUGGGAGUUGCCGAUGAUUAGGAAGAGUAGACCUAAGACAGUCCCUGACAGGAGUAAUCCACAAAAGUAGACUCUGCAAUGGAAUAUUGGUGCUGCCUCCUGUGUUGCCGGCUGGCACAGAGGACCCAUUGCUGCUCACAGGUAGAGUAUGGGGAGCCCCUGGCUUACCAUAGUCUUGUAAUUGUGGUAUUCAUUGUGUGUGUGUGUGAAAUUCAUUGGGGUGAAUUGUGAUGGAUUUUGGUGAAGGAAAUGCACUGCUGGGUCCAGUAUCUCAAGAGUUUCAGGGAUUCAGGGAGAAAUGGUAAUUAUAAGGGCUAUGGAGCGGGAUGCCUGUUGCUGGUGGUCAUUGAUACAUUGGAGAAAGAGAAAGAAGAGCUGAGGGUGAUUAAUCACCAAUUAAAGGCAAAGUGUGACAGUCAGAAGGUGUGCUUGAAAGCAUAUAAAGCAAUUCUUACCUUCUGGUACUUUAAGGCAGAAAAAGCUAAGGCUCAGGCUCAGGGCUUAAUUAGGAGAGUAGCAAAGCUUCAGAGAAGGAAUGUGGAAAUCCCAACCCCAAGUCUGUGUAUCAAUGUCUGAGCCGAGUGCAGACUUAAGUUUAAUGCAUGAGGUUCAUUAACUCUCUGAACCCUCUGAGCCUGUAAAAGUGACCCACUCCUCCCUCUAGGAGGCUAGUGCUCUGCCACUUUUUUGAAGAUGGUACAGAGGCUUCUGCCCAGGAGAUAGCAAGCACCUCCGCUUAGGAUGUAACCCCACCUGCUACUGGAAACCAGAUCAACUGCUAGAGUUGAGUCACAACAUAACCUGGACGGGAAAGUGCUGGGCCUGCUGAGGGAAGAAAGAGACCGCACCUGGAAGAAGCUGUGGCACUUACACAGCGUGUCCCCGCAGGAGUUGGGAGACCAUGGAUUGGACUAGAUUCCGAAGGUGCUGGCUCUGGGGAGUGGAAUGUAAAGUUGGGUAGGAGAUAGUUUUUCAAUAUGGGAACACUUUCCUGUGACACAGGAGUUAACACCCUUUCAAGGACCUGGGACAGGGUGCCAACACUCUAUGAAGAUAGCUCUUAGAAGCUUGGAGAAAGAAACAGCCCACACUAAGUGAAGUAAAAUGUGAGAAUUACUGAGAAAAAUGGCGGAAAAAAAUGAGACAAAGGCUUGAAGUGGGCAUGCUAAAUAGAUAUAUUAUGUGAGAAUAGAAAACACUGGCUUGAUUGAAUUUGUAAGGAAAAACAGAACAAAACCUCUGCUGUAUUCUAUGAAUUCCAAGGUGGACGUCAUUUGCAACCAGUAACUGUAUCCAUCGCGUUCUGAGCCAUCCUUAUUGGUGUGUGGUUAAUGGAUUUUUGUUGUCAUUGCUGGUUUGUUUGUUUUUAACUGUAUGUGAAUCCCGAGAAAGAGUUAAACACAGGCUGUGUGUUCCGCCACAGUUCCCAUUGUGUAUGGCCCCUCUUUGCUCUAGGAAGGGGCUUUCUCACUCCUCUGCAAGGUAUACAAGUCUCCUCUGUUCUGGAUGGGUUGGGUAAGGGGCUAUGCAGAGUUCUGGGGCUCAAGCCUUGGUGGAUGGUUGAUGGAUAGGCAGUGGGCUGAAUUCUGGUGAUUGGUGGCCUUACAGGGUAUCAAUUCUGCACUGACUCAGGCCCAUACCUCUCUCUGGUUUUCCUCACCCACCCUCCUGUCCACAUGGCAGGCUCUAGUUCUCUCUCCUCUCACCCACUGCAUCAUUUUUCUAAUCCUGGGGAGCAGUAUCCCCUUCUGCAAGCCUGCACUUGAAUCUCUCAGCCUGCCGAAAGGCCAGAUUGUUGUUGAAGAGUUGAGCAUCCUAGCUUUCUUUUUAAGGCUCUGUAUGGGUGACUUGUGUCUGCCCUGAGCACUUGGGGAAAAGAGGAAGCCCUUGGGGUACAAGUCAACAAAUCCAGUAUUUGAGAGGAAAGAUGUAUCCCAUCACGAACCUCUAUAUUGUUUUGUGUGUGAGGUGGCAGAAAAUAGUUUAAGAACUGCUGAAAUACACAACAUUGUCUGACUAGUCCAAUCAGAGAACAUUUUAGUGAAACCUAGAAGCUGAUCUGCUUUUAAAAUUUGUGGGCUUUUGCCAGUUCCACCGGACAAGUUAUGUGCAUUUCCACUCAUUUAUUGAGCAAGCUGAAGAGUUCCUGAGGACUUGGAAAUUUAUCUUAUGAUCCUAAUUUCUUCCCAUAUUUCCCAAGCCUGACUCAUUAAAUCACCCAACCAAACUUGAACAAGCAUCCAUGACGUUUUCCCCUUACACAAUCUGCU
rnacentral:lncRNA from 1 species